AACUUUCCCCAAGUGGUUAGAGCGUUGGUCUCAUAUUAUCCAUAUGAAAAGACUGUCAACGGUCUUGGCCAUCCAAAGGUCGUGAGUUCGAGUCUCACCGAGGACA